rnacentral:rRNA from 1 species
CCCUUAGAUGUCCUGGGCCGCACGCGCGCUACACUGACAUGUUCAACAAGUUUCUCCUAGUUCGACAGGACUGGGAAAUCUUUGAACGCAUGUCGUGAUAGGGAUAGAUCAUUGCAAUUAUUGAUCUUGAACGAGGAAUUCCUAGUAAACGCGAGUCAUCAGCUCGCAUUGAUUACGUCCCUGCCCUUUGUACACACCGCCCGUCGCACCUACCGAUUGAAUGUUUCGGUGAAGAUUCCGGAUAGGACUUUUUUGAUUUAUUUCAAUUUUGUCUUAAAAGCUAUCUAAACCUCAACAUUUAGAGGAAGGUGAAGUCGUAACA